UCUUCCUCUUGAAAUCGUCUCAAACAGGUUAAUAUACCUGGUCCUAGUGAUAUUUUGUACUGUUAUUACAGCACGUGGUCUUGAUAAUUUUCUUUUUGCGUUGUAAAAUUAUGCAUUUACGCAAGCUUUUUGUAGCGGUAUUUCUAGUACAGGUGUUAGGGACUGUGGUGCGCGCUGAGGACUUGCAGUGCCACCAGUGCCUUCCAAAUGAUCUAGACCCUUUGCGUUGUGAAAAUCUGCCAAACCAUCGUAAUGUUCCAUGUAAAGCGACCGAAAAACUACCAAAUCCAGCCUGCGCCACUAUCAGAGUUCCUGUUGGAAAUGACCUGGGAAAUAUAUGGUUCCGAGGCUGCGUCAACAAGGGCAAUCAAACAGCAAACACGUGCGAGUUAUUUAACACCCCAUCAAAUCAUUCUGCAACGAACGAUAUCUGGUUUGUGUCGAUUACGCUAGCAGAUCCAGAUCCAGAACCGACAGAAUGGAAACUGGCCGGCACGGUGGAAGCACGUACUGCUGCCCGGGGCAUUCUUAAGCGACUGUUCCCUAAUUCGGAUGCUAGUCGGAUUUACAAAUCCCCCUUGCACCACAUCCUUGGUCUACAGUCUAUACCGGCUACGGAAAGCUGUGUGUGUCAAUCGGAAUUAUGCAAUCAGCAAAAUACAGGAAAUAUUUUUAGAUACUCCACGUCAUUAACUGCUUUUGCAGGGAUUGUUCUGCUGCUUUUUCGAAAGAUUUUUGAAUGAGAUUAGUUGCUCAUAAUAUGGGCUGGUUUAUAUACUUUGUUUUUUAUUCUGACACCGAUUUGACUGAAUGAUAAAGUAAGCGGGCAGUG